rnacentral:lncRNA from 1 species
CAAUGGAUUUCGCCAAUUCACCCACGGCUGCCACAAUUCUGGAUGACGAAACCCCGCUUGUGGCAGUCGCAAGGUGCUCGAAUGCGAAUGCCAGAAGAGAAUCACCGGCCAGAACGGCGACGUCUUCCCCGAAGACUUUGUGGUUGGUGGGCUUUCCUCGCCGGAGGUCGUCGUUGUCCAUACAGGGGAGGUCGUCGUGAAUCAGAGACAUAGUGUGAAUCAUUUCGACCGCACAAGCCGCCGGCAUGGCGUUGGACUCAUCUCCGCCCACGAGCUCGCAAGCGGCUAAACAGAGAGCCGGUCGGACACGCUUGCCGCCGGCGAGGAGAGAGUAGCGCAUUGCUUCAUGGAUUUUGAUAGGGCUUUUCACGUAAACAGCCUCGUCCAAGGCUUUAUGCACCGAACUGGCCUUCUGAAUCAUGUAAUCCUUGAAACUGAAGGGCGUUUCCUUCUGGGUGGGGCCCUUCCCCUCCUUCACAGAGUCCUCCUUUGUGAUAAUCGCAAAAAC